ACAUUUUCACUAUUAUAAUAUUGUUUUUUUCAAAUUUUUCUUAUUAAAAAGUAGGCAAACUUCAAAUACCAACCUUGUGAUUUCACACUUUCUCAUUUUAGUACUCUAUAGUUUAAAGUAUAUCAAGUUAGUGCCCUGUGAUUUUAUUUUUAUCUUUUCGUCAGCUUUUUCAUUAAUAUUUCGUUAAAUUAUAUACAAAAAAAUUUCAGAUACCCACAUAGAUUUAUCGAAUAUUCACUUUAGUACUCUUUAAUUUUAACUUUGUCACUGAUUUAACAAAAAAAAUUAAUGAAAUCGAUAAUAAAAAGAUAAAAAUAAAACCACAGGACACUAAAUUAAUACACUUUAAACCACAUGGUACUAAAGUGAGAAAGUAUAUAACCACAGGGAUGAUAUUUGAAGUUUUUUCAAAAAAAAAUAUAAUUCAUAAACAUAGAUAGCUAAGUCACUCUCUCUUAUUUUUUUAAUUUCUUU
rnacentral:lncRNA from 1 species